GGCAAAUUUAUUAGGAAAAUCGUCACACCCCGAAGACCAAAAGAACUUCAGAAUUUAUAUGAAUGUAUGACGACUUAUGACUUCCUCACUAUAUACACCAGAAGUAGUCAGAAGCUCAAGAUAUCUAAACAAGCAGAUAUUUAUGGCAAUGAUGCCUCAAGAAGUCUCCAAAUAAGGACUGGGCAGGAAGUGAUGGCCCCUCUAACCACCAGAGUACCAAUUCUUGAUAGUGCCCACAUCACUCCACUGGCCUGUUUGCUGAUGUCCACUCUUAACAUGUGGACUGUGUCCUAAACCUAGCCUGCCUUGCUGCUAAGGGAUAAUAAUUCACAUGUCUACAUAUUCAUCCAAGGAUAACUUCUUGGGUUCAGCCAGGAUGCAAAUGUAGCCCAGUUUUCGUUGCCGGAGAAGUGGCAGAGGAGAAGAAGGCACUGGUAAAGCCCGAGAAUUAUAUGGCUGUCCACCGACCUUGUUGGAUAGAUGUACAAGUUAUUCCACAGCUUUUUGCCGUAAAGUCCAGGAUUUAUAGAUAGUAUCAAGCUAUAUUGUAGAUGGGUUUAUUGCACAAAUAAUAAGACUUUUUAACUUUAACUAAUACAAACUGAAAUUCAUGCAGUUACACAGUUUGUAUUAUUACAUAUUAAUUCAUGCAGUUACACGAACUUGUAGAUGCAUCCUCUUUGACAGCUUGCAAAGU